rnacentral:rRNA from 1 species
UACGAAGGGGGCGAGCGUUGUUCGGAAUUACUGGGCGUAAAGCGUGCGCAGGCGGGCUUUUAAGCCAGACGUGAAAUCCCCGGGCUUAACCUGGGAAUGGCGUUUGGGACUGGAAGUCUGGAGUGCGGCAGAGGAGACUGGAAUUCCUGGUGUAGCAGUGAAAUGCGUAGAUAUCAGGAGGAACACCGAUGGCGAAGGCAGGUCUCUGGGCUGACACUGACGCUCAUGCACGAAAGCGUGGGGAGCAAACAGG